UACAGAGGUCUCGAGCGUUGUUCGGAUUCAUUGGGCGUAAAGGGUGCGUAGGUGGCACCGUAAGUCGGGUGUGAAAUCCUGAGGCUUAACCUCGGAACUGCAUUCGAUACUGCCGUGCUUGAGGACUGGAGAGGAGACUGGAAUUUACGGUGUAGCGGUGAAAUGCGUAGAUAUCGUAAGGAAGACCAGUGGCGAAGGCGGGUCUCUGGACAGUUCCUGACGCUGAGGCACGAAGGUCAGGGGAGCAAACGGG
rnacentral:rRNA from 1 species